UUCCCUUUGUGGGUUUCUUUCUUACAACUACAAGCAUAUAUCACAAAAGACAUAUCCAUUUUUCUGAACUUACUUAACACACAAACAUUAUGACAAGUCAAGAAAUGAAGAAUAUUUACAUUCUUAUAAUUUUUCUUAUUUUAUCAAUGGAUAUAUUGUGUCUACAAAGCGAAUCCAGGAUCUUAGACAUAUCCAAUGUCAAAUUCAAAGACAUUAGUUUAAUCAGAGGUCGCAGUAACAGGCAGAUUCCUAUCAAACCCAAUCCAUCGCCAACCGCAAAUACUCGUGGUCGUUUUGACUAUACUCCACCACCGAUGAGCAUGAAAUAAGGAAGCUCUCAACGAUCGAGACAGAUCUAGGAUCCUAAAGUUGAUGGUUCGGCCAAACAUAUUUAGUACUAAACUGAUUGUACUGAUUGUUUUUCAAAGUUCUCGUUUGGCCAUUGAUUUUGGCUUCAUUUAUUUAGAAAUAAAAAUAAAAAUGUCGUAUGCUUAUGAAAUAUGAUCACAUUUUGGGGGGAAAAACUUCAAAAUUUUUCAAUUUCCCAAAAACUAGUUUAGGGGCAGUUUUUUGGGUGAAAUUUUUUUCUUUCAAUCACAAAACUUUAAUUUUUCUUCAAAUAAAAUGCAUGUCCAAACACAACUUUAACUUUCAAAUAUUAUUUUUCAACACAACUUUAAAAGGUCUUUUUCAAAUUUCAAUCAAAUCUAAGUCCAACACUAGCUUAAUAUAUUUUUAGUAAUUUUCACAUAUAAAUUUGUACUCUCUGUCCAAGAUACUGAUUUUGUACGAACUCGACCUCUGGAGGCACCGUAUAAAGAGUAUUGAUUUUCAACGCUUUUAUGUAAUUUGAAAAUAUGUAACUUGAAUUAUUAAAAAGUUAGUGAAAUUGACACUUCAAUUGAAAUAAAAAGUCAGAUGCUUUGCUUUGCUAUUCUAAACUUUACCGUUCCUUUUUAGAACAAAAAGAGUGUUAUUAUCAGAAAAUAAACAGGAGUAAAUUAUAGUUACUGAAGCUAGUAUCAAAGGCUGGUUAUGUGGACGUGUCCAGGUGGCAGUCUACUAUUGUUGGUGAUUGUUGGUGAACUGGUCUUGUAUAAAAGUCUGGUUUCAGAUGUUAAUUAGCUUAAUUAGUUAGCUGUUAGUGACCAUUAAAAUUAGUUGUUAACUACAGGCUUAGAUUUAUAUUAGUUUGUUGGCAUACUCACUUAUAUAAAUUGCCAUAUACAAGUAAUGAAAUG